UGAGAUUUUAACACGAAGUGAGUGGCGAACGGGUGAGUAACACGUGGGUAACCUGCCCAGAAGUAGGGGAUAACACCUGGAAACAGAUGCUAAUACCGUAUAACAGAGAAAACCGCAUGGUUUUCUUUUAAAAGAUGGCUCUGCUAUCACUACUGGAUGGACCCGCGGCGUAUUAGCUAGUUGGUGAGGUAAAGGCUCACCAAGGCAGUGAUACGUAGCCGACCUGAGAGGGUAAUCGGCCACAUUGGGACUGAGACACGGCCCAGACUCCUACGGGAGGCAGCAGUAGGGAAUCUUCCACAAUGGACGCAAGUCUGAUGGAGCAACGCCGCGUGAGUGAAGAAGGGUUUCGGCUCGUAAAGCUCUGUUGUUAAAGAAGAACGUGGGUAAGAGUAACUGUUUACCCAGUGACGGUAUUUAACCAGAAAGCCACGGCUAACUACGUGCCAGCAGCCGCGGUAAUACGUAGGUGGCAAGCGUUAUCCGGAUUUAUUGGGCGUAAAGCGAGCGCAGGCGGUCUUUUAAGUCUAAUGUGAAAGCCUUCGGCUCAACCGAAGAAGUGCAUUGGAAACUGGGAGACUUGAGUGCAGAAGAGGACAGUGGAACUCCAUGUGUAGCGGUGAAAUGCGUAGAAUAUAUGGAAGAACACCAGUGGCGAAGGCGGCUGUCUGGUCUGCAACUGACGCUGAGGCUCGAAAGCAUGGGUAGCGAACAGGAUUAGAUACCCUGGUAGUCCAUGCCGUAAACGAUGAUUACUAAGUGUUGGAGGGUUUCCGCCCUUCAGUGCUGCAGCUAACGCAUUAAGUAAUCCGCCUGGGGAGUACGACCGCAAGGUUGAAACUCAAAAGAAUUGACGGGGGCCCGCACAAGCGGUGGAGCAUGUGGUUUAAUUCGAAGCUACGCGAAGAACCUUACCAGGUCUUGACAUCUUCUGACAGUCUAAGAGAUUAGAGGUUCCCUUCGGGGACAGAAUGACAGGUGGUGCAUGGUUGUCGUCAGCUCGUGUCGUGAGAUGUUGGGUUAAGUCCCGCAACGAGCGCAACCCUUAUUACUAGCUGCCAGCAUUAAGUUGGGCACUCUAGUGAGACUGCCGGUGACAAACCGGAGGAAGGUGGGGACGACGUCAAAUCAUCAUGCCCCUUAUGACCUGGGCUACACACGUGCUACAAUGGAUGGUACAACGAGUCGCGAGACCGCGAGGUUAAGCUAAUCUCUUAAAACCAUUCUCAGUUCGGACUGUAGGCUGCAACUCGCCUACACGAAGUCGGAAUCGCUAGUAAUCGCGGAUCAGCAUGCCGCGGUGAAUACGUUCCCGGGCCUUGUACACACCGCCCGUCACACCAUGAGAGUUUGUAACACCCAAAGCCGGUGGGGUAACCUUUUAGGAGCUAGCCGUCUAAGGUGGGACAGAUGAUUAG
rnacentral:rRNA from 1 species